AUCAUCACUUGCAAAGUGUCUGGGGUCUUUGGCUGGAGUCUGCUACUCAUGUCUGAAUAUGGCUAAAGGAGUGACUUGGCUUUUCUAGGCUCCAGUUCUUUAAAUACUAAAUAAGAGCAACAUAGUGGACAACUAGAUAUCCAACCACGUAACUUGGUGACUUGGAAGUUCUUGUGUCUAUGCUUCAUGGAUGGGAAUAGUUAGUGAAUCAAACUCUGGCAGUAGAAGAGAACAUAGUGUGCCCUACGACAGACACAGCAGGAAGGCCUGGGAUGAGUGGAGUGAUCAAACACCAAGGCAGGUAGAAGUGUGGCCAGAAAUAGGCAGUGUAGCCCGAGAAUGA
rnacentral:lncRNA from 1 species